GGUAGACGCUACGGACUUAAAAUCCGUCGACUUUAUAAGUCGUGAGGGUUCAAGUCCCUCUAUCCCCA
rnacentral:tRNA from 9 species